UUCCGCGGAGCCGGGCAGAGGUUUUAGGGGUGCGCAGGAGUCAAGUGGUGGUUCAGUGGGGACGGAAUGAUUAACAAAGGCGUCCGAAGAAAUCGUUGUUGGAAGGUGACCAAGGUGGAAAGAGACGUUGCUUUGGCCCUGCAAGUAAGAAGAGAGAGGGAAUAGCCUGAAGGAGUAACACUAAAUUUAAAAUGACACUUUUUUACCAACCAGCGAAAGCAGAUGUUCAAAGGGGAUAUUGGCCAGGUGCGGUCGCUCACGCCUUUAAUCCCAGCACUUUGGGGGCAGACGCGGGGAGAUAGCGUGAUUCUAGGAGUUCAACCCCAGCCUGGGCAACAUGCGGAGACCCCGUACCGUCUCUACAAAAACAUUAAACAAAAAAAUUAGCUGGGCAUGGUGGUGUACCCCUGUAGUUGCAGCUACACUAGAGGCUGAGGUGGGAGGAUCGCUUGAGCCCGGGAUGUUGAGGCUGCAGUGAGCCUCGAUCCUACCACUGUGCUCCAGCCUGGGCGACAGCAAGCCCGUGUCUCAGAAAAGGCGGGAGGGGUGGGAUAUUAUUGAUGAUAGGCCUUCUGACGUCUGGCAAUAGAUUCCAGAGUAACAUCGGUCAUGGAUAAAUUUUUUUUUUAACUAAGUGACUGAAACCAAAGUUAAUUGUCUUUUGAGUGAUUUUGCACAGUAUCUCAAAAUGAACUGUACUUUUUUUCUUGUGUCACUGAAACAGUGCUGUGUGUUCUUUUUCAGAGUCUGUCACACUAAGAUGAGAAAUGUCCUUUCUUCCUGAAGGUGUCUGAUGUGUAAAAAUAUGAUAUACUUUGUGCUGUU
rnacentral:lncRNA from 1 species